rnacentral:rRNA from 1 species
UACGUAGGGGGCAAGCGUUGUCCGGAAUUAUUGGGCGUAAAGAGCGUGUAGGCGGCCUGGUAGGUCAGCUGUGAAAACUCGAGGCUCAACCUCGAGACGCCGGUUGAAACCAUCAGGCUAGAGUCCGGAAGAGGAGAGUGGAAUUCCCGGUGUAGCGGUGAAAUGCGCAGAUAUCGGGAAGAACACCCGUGGCUAAGGCGGCUCUCUAGUACGGUACUGACGCUGAGACGCGAAAGCGUGGGGAGCGAACAGG